UACGAAGGGUGCAAGCGUUAAUCGGAAUUACUGGGCGUAAAGCGUGCGUAGGCGGUUCGUUAAGUCUGCUGUGAAAUCCCUGGGCUCAACCUGGGACGUGCAGUGGAAACUGGCGAGCUAGAGUGUGAUAGAGGAUGGUGGAAUUCCCGGUGUAGCGGUGAAAUGCGUAGAGAUCGGGAAGAACAUCAGUGGCGAAGGCGGCCAUCUGGAUCAACACUGACGCUGAGGCACGAAAGCGUGGGGAGCAAACAGG
rnacentral:rRNA from 1 species